CAAAUUUUUAAUCAUCACUGCCAAUGUUGAAGCCAUUAAGACAAUUGCAUCACAGUUCGCACUGAUCUUCAAAAUGAAAAAUGACAAAGAUAGCAAACCAAAAGACCAAAACCCAAUUAUCAUUUCAUGACAAAUAAACAAAUAUAUAAUUUGAUUAGCAUAUUCCUACAAGCAUACAUUCAAAUGAUCACAAAAAUUGAGAUGCCAAUGAAAUUGAAAUGAAUUCAACCAUUAUAGUUGCUCCAAGAAAAAUUAUCACUUGCAAUGAUGAAGCCAUUAACUUGAACGCAAAUAAGUGGGGGAGAAUUGACUUCUCAAUGAUCAUUACAAUCAAACAUGCCAAAGUGAGCUAGACCCAAAAAAAUAUAUUGCUCCAUAAACAAGCAUAAGCUGAAAACAAUAUAAAUAAACAACUAUAGAACAUAAUAGAAGUC
rnacentral:lncRNA from 1 species